rnacentral:rRNA from 1 species
GAUGAACGCUGGCGGCGUGCCUAAUACAUGCAAGUCGAGCGAACAGACGAGGAGCUUGCUCCUUCGACGUUAGCGGCGGACGGGUGAGUAACACGUAGGUAACCUACCUAUAAGACUGGGAUAACUUCGGGAAACCGGAGCUAAUACCGGAUAAUAUUUCGAACCGCAUGGUUCGAUAGUGAAAGAUGGCUUUGCUAUCACUUAUAGAUGGACCUGCGCCGGAUUAGCUAGUUGGUAAGGUAACGGCUUACCAAGGCACCGAUACGUAGCCGACCUGAGAGGGUGAUCGGCCACACUGGAACUGAGACACGGUCCAGACUCCUACGGGAGGCAGCAGUAGGGAAUCUUCCGCAAUGGGCGAAAGCCUGACGGAGCAACGCCGCGUGAGUGAUGAAGGUCUUCGGAUCGUAAAACUCUGUUAUUAGGGAAGAACAAACGUGUAAGUAACUGUGCACGUCUUGACGGUACCUAAUCAGAAAGCCACGGCUAACUACGUG